rnacentral:rRNA from 1 species
UACGGGGGGGGGCAAGCGUUGUUCGGAAUUACUGGGCGUAAAGAGCGUGUAGGCGGCCAGGUAGGUCGGUUGUGAAAACUGGAGGCUCAACCUUCAGAGGUCGACCGAAACCAUCUGGCUAGAGUGCGGGAGAGGAGAGUGGAAUUCCCGGUGUAGCGGUGAAAUGCGCAGAUAUCGGGAGGAACACCUGUGGCGAAGGCAGCUCGCUGGGACGUUACUGACGCUGAGACGCGAAAAGCGUGGGGGAGCAAACAGG